CCUACGGGAGGCAGCAGUGGGGAAUAUUGCACAAUGGGGGAAACCCUGAUGCAGCGACGCCGCGUGAGUGAUGAAGUAUUUCGGUAUGUAAAGCUCUAUCAGCAGGGAAGAAAAUGACGGUAUCUGACUAAGAAGCCCCGGCUAACUACGUGCCAGCAGCCGCGGUAAUACGUAGGGUGCAAGCGUUAUCCGGAUUUACUGGGCGUAAAGAGCGCGUAGGCGGGCAAGCAAGUCAGAAGUGAAAGCCCAGGGCUGAACCCUAGGACUGCUUUGGAAACUGUCAGGCUAGAGUACAGGAGAGGUAAGCGGAAUUCUUAGUGUAGCGGUGAAAUGCGUAGAUAUCAGGAGGAACACCCGUGGCGAAGGCGACUUACUGGACUGUAACUGACGUUGAGGCGCGAAAGCGUGGGGAGCAAACAGGAUUAGAUACCCUGGUAGUC
rnacentral:rRNA from 1 species